rnacentral:rRNA from 1 species
AGAGUUUGAUCCUGGCUCAGAUUGAACGCUGGCGGCAGGCUUAACACAUGCAAGUCGAGCGGAGAUGAGGUGCUUGCACCUUAUCUUAGCGGCGGACGGGUGAGUAAUGCUUAGGAAUCUGCCUAUUAGUGGGGGACAACAUUUCGAAAGGAAUGCUAAUACCGCAUACGCCCUACGGGGGAAAGCAGGGGAUCUUCGGACCUUGCGCUAAUAGAUGAGCCUAAGUCGGAUUAGCUAGUUGGCAGGGUAACGGCCUACCAAGGCAAAGAUGGGUAGGGGGUGUGAGAGCAUGACCCGCCACACUGGGACUGAGACACGGUCCAGACUCCUACGGGAGGCAGCAGUGGGGAAUAUUGGGCAAUGGGCGCAAGCCUGACCCAGCAACGCCGCGUGAGGGAAGAAGGUUUUCGGAUUGUAAACCUCUGUCGCAGAUGACGAAAAAAAUGACGGUAAUCUGUGAGGAAGCCCCGGCUAACUACGUGCCAGCAGCCGCGGUAAUA